CCUACGGGAGGCAGCAGUGAGGAAUAUUGGUCAAUGGGCGCGAGCCUGAACCAGCCAAGUAGCGUGAAGGAUGACUGCCCUACGGGUUGUAAACUUCUUUUAUAAAGGAAUAAAGUGAGGCACGUGUGCCUUUUUGUAUGUACUUUAUGAAUAAGGCUCGGCUAACUCCGUGCCCGCAGCCGCGGUAAUUCGGAGGAUCCGAGCGGUAGCCGGAUUUUAUGGGUUUAAAGGGAGCGUAGAUGGGUUGUUAAGUCAGUUGUGAAAGUUUGGGGCUCCAACGUCAGAUUGCAAUUGAUACUGGCGUUCUUGAGUGCAGGUGAGGUAGGCGGAAUGCGUGGUGUAGCGGUGAAAUGCUUAGAUAUCACGAAGAACUCCGAUUGCGAAGGCAGCUUACUAAACUGCCACUGACAUUGAUGCUCGAAAGUGUGGGUAUCAAACAGGAUUAGAUACCCUAGUAGUC
rnacentral:rRNA from 1 species